ACGGGUUAACAGCAACAAAGACAUCCAUCUGCUCAUCUGCUCUGAUGGCCCUCCAAUAAAGCCACAUCCACGCGACUCUGGGUUGGCUAACAUUACGCAAGUGCCCGGAUGUAGCCGUGGGGAAACUACGUCAUUGUUCACCGCCGGACGCGUUUUGGAUUUUUAGAAUGGAUGAACACAUUUAAAUUAAUCAUAAAUUUACAGAAAAUGAAUGAUGACCAUAGUUGACAAACCUCCAGAGAAACCUGACCUGGAGUCAGUGCGGUUCAAGCACUCCAGCUCCCUCACACCUUUCUCCACCAGGGAUAUGGAGAGCAGUAGUUCGAGCUGGAGUGUUGGCCCCUCCGGCACUGAGAUUUCAAGGGCCAAGACUGCUUGCAUGGCCCCGACCAUUGGGCUGACUGUGAAUGGUAAUAACAACACAGCUCAAGUCGAAAGGCCUCGGGAACAAGUGUUAACGACCAGUGGAGAUGGCAUUGCUCCGCCUCAGAAGGUCCUUUUUUCCCCAGAGCGGCUUUGCUUGAAAUGGAACCAGGGUCACCGUAUCGGAUCAGGUCUGCAGAACCUUGGCAACACAUGUUUUUUAAAUUCAACCCUCCAGUGUCUAACCUACACGGCUCCGCUUGCAAACUACAUGCUAACCAGAGAGCAUUCCAAAACAUGUCAUGAGCCUGGAUUCUGCAUGAUGUGUACCAUGCAAAAUCACAUCAUUCAGGUGUUCGCCAACUCUGGAAAUGUCAUCAAACCUAUCGGUGUGCUUAACGAACUGAAAAGGAUUGGAAAGCAUUUCAGAUUUGGAAGUCAGGAAGAUGCUCAUGAAUUUUUAAGGUAUACAGUGGAUGCUAUGCAAAAGUCCUGCCUACCUGGGACCAAGCUGGACAGACAAACACAGGCUACCACUUUUGUACAUCAGAUAUUUGGGGGUUAUCUGAGAUCUAGAGUCAAAUGUUUAAAUUGCAAAGCAGUGUCUGACACGUUUGACCCUUAUCUGGAUAUUUCACUGGAGAUAAAGAACGCUCCGACACUUACAAAGGCAUUUGAACAGUUUGUUAAGCCUGAGCAGCUUGAAGGAGAUAAUGCUUACAAAUGCUCCAAGUGUAAGAAAAUGGUCACCGCCUCAAAGAGAUUCACCAUUCAUCGCAGUUCUAAUGUUCUUACCAUCUCACUGAAGCGGUUUGCCAACUUCAACGGAGGAAAAAUUACAAAGGAUGUGAGAUACACUGAGCAUCUAGAUUUGCGUCCAUUCAUGUCUCAGUCUCAUGGGGAACCACAGAUUUAUGUUCUGUAUGCCGUGCUGGUUCAUUCUGGCUUCAGUUGCCAUGCUGGACACUACUACUGCUACAUUAAGGCUAGCAAUGGGCAGUGGUAUCAAAUGAAUGACUCAUCCGUAUCUCUUAGCGAUAUUAAAGCAGUGCUUAACCAGCAGGCAUACUUGCUGUUCUACAUCAGGUCGCCUGAUUUGAAGAAUGGAAGUGAUUUUGGUCAUGUGAACCAUACACCAGGUCAGUCAUCUCCGCGGCCAUCCAUUCCACUUAAGACGAAUGGACCUCAGUACACCUCCUCAUCUUUCAUUGGCCCUCAGUUGCCACCACAUAUGAUGAAGAACUCCUCAUAUAUCAAUGGACAUGGUUCUUCAAAGGACUACCAUAGUGGUUCAAAACCCAACAGAAACUUUUGUGGUGUGACCAAAGUAGGUUCUGGUCCAUCUCAUUCGUCCUCUUCUGCGUCUUCGUCAUCCUCUUCCACAUCGCAAUCCAACCAAAUUGUUCGACCCAUGGGAAUUCCUGACUCCUCUAAGAGGCCGAAGUUGACAUUUUACAUUGGUCAGGGCAAGCCUGUGAGACCCACCCAGACCCAAUCAAGUGCUAAUUGCUCCGCGUCCUCAUUUUCUCAGUCCACAUCCACUAAUACUUCGAAGACUACCUCAGGCUUCCCACAGACCAAGCAGGUCAACGGAACUCACACUGGAGCUUCUUUCCUGGUUCCUUAUGGUCAGGAAUCCUCUGAAGAAUCCGACCAAGAGGCUGGAACCUUGGAGAACGGAACACCUAAGCCUCCCAAGAUAACCAAUGGGAAUGGAGUAAAGGAUGAUGUCCAAGCCCACAAUUCCAGCUCACUGCCUCAGCAUACCUCAAAGACAAAUGGAUCCAAUGGCUUUACUGAAUUGCAUGGAUGUCAAAAUGGUUCAGGAUCCACCCAUAAAUCUCAAAACGGCCUUCCCAAAGCCAAUGGAUUUAAUCAUACCGAUAAGGUAACAGGUACUUCACACGUUUCCCCUCAAAUAACUAAUCCAUCCGAUAAUUUGGACUCACAGUUUGACCUUAAACCUGGAAACGGCGAGCCAUGCUCCAAACCACCAAGUACGGACCUUCACCAAUGUUCAUCACCCCCAAGCAAAAGAGAAAAACUUUCCUCUGAUUCUUCAGCUCACUCUUCUACACAAACGCAGUCUGCAAAUCCAUCAAAUGCCUCUUUGGUCUCUAAGACAGACAAUGAUGUGCAUGUCGAGGCAGCCUCAAAGAUUGAGUCAAAUCAGACCCAUGCUACCCACCCAGCGGUUGGCAAGUCAGACUUUCAGGUCAACCAUAGCCUCCAUGGAGGUGAUGGUCACACAAGUCCUCUUAGGUUAAAGGAGACGCUCAGGUGCACAGAAGGUGAAGUUAAAGAGUCGAAAUCCCCGAACUUAGCCAAAUUUGGAUCUAGUGAUGGAAGAAGACCAGUUGAAGACCGGAAUAGGAUUGUAGAGCGUCCACACUUUUCCUCCACCCUGAAAGACAGGGAUAGGUACAGGCAUCAUAGGGAAUAUGAUGAAAGAAACAGGAACCGCUACGGACACAGCCAUCGACAUGAACGAGAGUAUCGUCCUAUCAGGGAGCGCUCUACCAGCAGAGAACGCCAUUACAGAGAUCGUGAAGGGGAUCGACACUGGAACAGGUACACAUAUAACCAUCAGGAGCACCCACACUCUCAAAGAAGAAUCAGGGAGGAUCGGGAUCGAAGCAGAGAUGGGAAAUAUGCAAGCGGACACGAUGCUUAUCGUUCUUAUGGACAUCACAACAAGGAUGGGUCUUCUAGCAACUCCCAUCGUGGGACGGAUGGUGACCGGGGACGGACGAUCCAUACGGUCAGCGAGAUCAACUCGAGAACCAGACCUUCAUCUCCACGUUCUGUCAGCCCACUGUCUGGACAUCACAAGAGGAAACGCAGUUUGUCGGCAGAAACAAAGUCAAGCUCUGAUGAGUGUCGGGUUAAGAAAGCAAAAAAGAAGAAGAAAAACAAAGACAAACACAGACGCUCAGAGAAAGACACGUCAGAGACAAAUGAGGACAGCAGUUCCAGGCGACACAGGAAGAAGAAGAAAAAGAAAAAGAGAAGGAGGUGGGAUGAGGAGAAGCAUCAUACCGAAAAAGAUGCUAAUCAUAGACGGGACGAACAUGAGUCUAGAUCGAGAAACGGUGGAGAAAGUCGUCAUCACAGCUCUGAAUCUCAUUACAAUGUCAACCGAGGAGACCAUCAUAAGGAGGACCAGCAAAAGCUCAAUGGACACAAAGCAAAUGGCUUGAACUGUUACAGUGGAAGUGAACCUGACCUCAAUCACACUGAGUUGGAGAUAGAUUCGAAACACAAACACGAUACCACUGUCAACAGCACAAAGACAAACUCGCAUAGAAAUGGAGAUGUGGAUGGUGUUCAGCACAGAAUCCCUGCAGAUGUUAAAGAAGUCACAAAUUCUCACUGAAGUGAAAUGGAUUUCUCUCUCAUACCUAAGAAUCUGAAACCACCCUUACAAGCAUGUGAAAGACAAUAUCUACAGUUACAGAGUUCCUGACAUGGAACAAAACCCGGGAAAGAAACGAACAUUUAUAUGCUGCAUCCAUGGAGAAAGACUGCUCGUCUUUUGGCUUCGAGUUAUGAUGUCACCAUUUUAACAUAUGGGUCGAGAGAACCGUCUCAAAAGAGCAGACUUUGCUAUUGCUACAUGUGCACUUACAUUACAGUUAACCUGGACACACUUGAGGACAUAUAAGAUAUUUGCUUUUGCUCUCUCUCUCUCACUGUAAUAUUCUCCCUUUUGGAAAUUCACAAAUCAAAACUAUCUAGUAUGCAAGUUUAUUGCAUCUUUUUUGUUUUUAAUUUGUUUUAAUUGUCGACGUUAAGUUUUAUUGAAUCCAGUUUAAUUUUAGUCUGUGUAAUACUGUGAAUUUAAGUUGAACUGUACUAUCAGUUGUUUGUUUUUCAGUCCUGUAUCAGGAAUUCAUUAGACACUUUCUUAAAAGCCACUCAUAAUGUUAUCUGGGCAUAUGUCAAUGUUUUUGUUUUAUUAGCAAAAAGACGAAACCGUUAUAUUCAUUUUGCUGUAGCAUGUCAAAGUAAAUGUAUACAGUGUACAAUAUUUUGAGUGAGAGGAAACAGCCUUAAUGUCUGAUUUUCUAAUAUUUUCUCUCACCGUGUUUACAGCGUUUUGUUGGAGUGAAUGAAUAUGUAUGUGAUGAUGGGAAGCAUUUGGUUUUGUAAAGGGUGGGUUUUCCUUUUUACACAUAAAGAAUGGAUUUUUGUGAGAUUUAAGUUUUGUAUGAAAAAUGUUUUGUUCUGCCUUUAGUUCAAUUAUAAAAGGCUUGUUAAAACUGAAGCAGCUUAAACACAGCAAUGAUUUGGAAUAAUUGUAUUUAUUUAUUUAUUUUAACCCUUCAUGUCGAAAAUUGUGAUAUUUGAACGGAAUGUAAUUGGAAGCAAACAAAUCUUAUAUCCAAGGUCUUAUAGGCAAGUACACACACACACAAAAAAUGCUGGAUUAUUUCGAACCCAGCAUUGGGUCAAAACGGGACAAGCCCAGCAGUUGGGUUAAAUUAACACACAAAUGUUUAUAUUUGACCCAAAAAUGGGUUCAAACAGCCCAGCAUAGGUUAAAUUAUAACCAAAGGGGGCUGGACUCGUCCCUUUUUGACCCAGCCCUGAGUUGAAAAUAACCCAGCAUUUUUUUUGUUUUAGAGCAUAGUGGUCAGUUUUCUAUCUUUAUGAGAGAAAUGCCAAGGUCCCUGAGAUUAGUUAAAGCGAAAUUAGAUGAAUUGCCCAGAAACCAUCAUUAAUACCAGAGAUUGGCAGUGGACCUCUAUGACACUCCAUAAAUUAGAGGUAAGCAUUCUUGGUCCUGGAGGGCUAUUGUCCUGUACUGCAAAGUUUAGCUCCAAAACUAAUCAAACACACCUGAAUGUCAUUUCCAAGUCAUCCUGCAGUUGUAAUGUGUGUUUGAUUAGGGUUGGAGCUAAACUUUGCAGGACAGCGGCCCUCCAGGACCAGAGAUGCCCACCCCUGCCUUAAAUCAUCCUAAACUUCAGACUGUAUUGCCAAUCCAAAGAUCUGAUUGAAGUGAAGGGUUGUGCUAAAAGGGAUUCUUCUAGCCUAAAUUAUUUUCAUCACAAACCCAACAUUUUACAGGAUUUUGGUCGUAACUGUAUCCCAUUUAGCCAGAACAGUUGUUUCAUCCCAAUCCUAUGAAUGAAGACAAAGAUCACAUGA